rnacentral:rRNA from 1 species
UACGGAGGGGGCUAGCGUUGUUCGGAAUUACUGGGCGUAAAGCGCGCGUAGGCGGCUUUGUAAGUUAGAGGUGAAAGCCCGGAGCUCAACUCCGGAACUGCCUUUAAGACUGCAUCGCUAGAAUCAUGGAGAGGUGAGUGGAAUUCCGAGUGUAGAGGUGAAAUUCGUAGAUAUUCGGAAGAACACCAGUGGCGAAGGCGACUCACUGGACAUGUAUUGACGCUGAGGUGCGAAAAGCGUGGGGAGCAAACAGG